GUCGAGUACAUAGAAGGAUUUAUUUUUUAACAUCAUUGCUUUAAAAAAAAAAAAGGACAUUUUACAAUUUGUCACUUCGAUUUUAUUUUCCCAGUGAACAUCGACACGUCUUUCUUUAUCUAACCAACAAGAGGUCUCACUUCAACGAAAUAUCAUUUUAGUUUUAAAUAACAGAAUAAUAACAAAUAAAGUGUGUGUAUCUUUGAGAGACUUCCUCUAUAUCAAUCAUCUAACGCUAAUAUCCAAGUAGUCUUCUAAGGAUGUAUCUAUUAGAACGCACAACACUCCCCCCUUU